rnacentral:rRNA from 1 species
GACGAACGCUGGCGGCGUGCCUAAUACAUGCAAGUAGAACGCACAGUUUAUACCGUAGCUUGCUACACCAUAGACUGUGAGUUGCGAACGGGUGAGUAACGCGUAGGUAACCUGCCUGGUAGCGGGGGAUAACUAUUGGAAACGAUAGCUAAUACCGCAUAAUAUUAAUUAUUGCAUGAUAAUUAAUUGAAAGGUGCAAUUGCACCACUACCAGAUGGACCUGCGUUGUAUUAGCUAGUAGGUGAGGUAACGGCUCACCUAGACGACGAUACAUAGCCGACCUGAGAGGGUGAUCGGCCACACUGGGACUGAGGCACGGCCCAGACUCCUACGGGAGGCAGCAGUAGGGAAUCUUCGGCAAUGGACGAAAGUCUGACCGAGCAACGCCGCGUGAGGGAAGAAGGUUGUCGGAUCGUAAAGCUCGGUUGUAAGAGAAGAACGGGUGUGAGAGUGGAAAGUUCACACUGUGACGGUAUCUUACCAGAAAGGGACGGCUAACUACGUG